ACGGGAGGCAGCAGUGGGGACUAUUGGGCAAUGGGCGAAAGCCUGACCCAGCAACGCCGCGUGAAGGAAGCAGGUCUUCGGAUUGUAAACUUCUUUUAUGAGGGACGAAGGACGUGACGGUACCUCAUGAAUAAGCCACGGCUAACUACGUGCCAGCAGCCGCGGUAAUACGUAGGUGGCAAGCGUUAUCCGGAUUUACUGGGUGUAAAGGGCGCGGAGGCGGGGAUGCAAGUCAGAUGUGAAAUCUAUGGGCUUAACUCAUAAACUGCAUGUGAAACUGUAUUUCUGGAGUGCUGGAGAGGUAGAUGGAAUUCCUUGUGUAGCGGUGAAAUGCGUAGAUAUAAGGAAGAACACCAGUGGCGAAGGCGAUCUACUGGACAGUAACUGACGCUGAGGCGCGAAAGCGUGGGGAGCAAACAGGAUUAGAUACCCUGGUA
rnacentral:rRNA from 1 species